GUGUUACAUGCAUUUGCUGCGUAUCAAAUCGUGCCCUGUCUGCGUCAGUGUCCCAGACAAAGAUCAGUCUUGCAUCAAACAGCAGGGACAGUAGUCUCUUUAAGUUUUCAUUACUUAGCAACAUCAACAAUUAGUGAAUGUGCCAUGAAAUUGUGGUAUCAAAUAAUUACCCUUUAUUUGUUAAUUACUUUAGCUAGGUCUGAGGAACAAGAGGAAAAUGAUAACGCUAAACCUGCAGGUAUUUGCAAUGUGGCAGAAUGUUCCAAAUUAUUCAAUCCUCGGUUGGAGGCAAUGGAAAUGGCUGUUAAGAAGAUAGUCUUAGCCAUAUUGAGCCAAACCAGUGAUGUGUUUGCACCAAUAAAGGAAAUACUGGAAGAGGAUCCAACAUUCAGUUCAAUCCUGCCCUUAAAUUCUACAAUCUAUUCAUCAAGCAGAAAAGCCCCAUCUGUGAAUAAUGUAACUGUUGGAGAUUCUUGCAUUUUGGUGGUUCUAGGUGGACAUAAACAAGACAAAAACAUUGCAGUGGAUAAUCUUAAGAGAGCCGUCAAAUGUUCGUUAGCCCACCUAGUGGACAUCAAUUCGACUGAUCCUGACCCGCGUGGCGAACCGCUUCCACAAAUAGCAGCUGAGUUCACUAACGACACUUUAAAAAUUAAAUUGCCCAUACCUUCAGCGGAAUGUGUUAAAGUUAGCUUAGGUGUGAGGAUUAGGAUUUAUGAAUCCGCUGACGGGUACAAAGUACCAUUGGAAGCUCCCAUAUUUGUCCCUCAAAAAUGUCUCCAAAAAAUUUCGAAAACCUGGUAUUCGAUUGACUUCCGCUCACCUUCAUCUUCAGCUGGCAAAGGAAACGCGUGUGCCUUUUCUUUGACCAAAAGUCUAACACAGUGUCGCUCUUACAUUUUGGAAGUCGUUAGAAAUUAUCAAUCACUCGCGGGGAAAGCGAUGCAAACGGAACUCGUCAUCCCGCCAAAGUUGAAGGGGAAGGCUCAUUUGAAACCAUUAAUAAGCGCAUCUGCACAUUCAAGUUCAUUGACACUCAAUUGGGAAGACAACUCCGGUUGCGCUCCGCAGUUAACAUCUCUCAGCUUGGAACUCUUUAAAGAUGGAAUUGCAGACAUAGAGGGAAAAGCGAACGCAACUGUCGUUAUUCCUCGCAGUUGUUUCAAACAGCCUAAAGGAGAGGAAAACCUGUUCUCCUUGGCAUUGGCAACGAACGAGCUCACAUGCCCAAUCGGCUGGAAACCCUUGGAUGCCUGUCGGAAAUACAGCGUUGACAUGACUCCCCAGUACUCAGCCACUUGGAAUGGUCUUUCUUCGUCGUUUGAGAUCUUCACGGAACAAGAAGGCGAUUUCUCAACGGUUACAGACAGCGUGUUUUUAAUAUGCCCAAGGAAACACUAUUUGUGCUACGGGGGUUGUAUGCAUAUAACCGAGUAUGUUUGUAAUAAUGACGUUGAUUGUGACUCAGAGAUUGACGAACGCUACUGUGAACAAGACGAUUGCCAUUAUUAUGGUGGGUUUCAAUGCGGACGGCAAUGCAUACCUAAAGAAUUGGUGUGCAAUGGCAAAUAUGAUUGCCUGGAUGGCUCCGACGAGGGUCCUGAUUGCGGGAACACCUGUAAACAGCUCACCAAUCCUUCGGGUAACUUUUCGUCUCAGAAGUUUCACAUGCCAUCAUACGAAAUCCACCCGGAUAAAAUCUUCGAUACCGUUCGAAAUACAAAGGUUUUGAUAUCGGUGCAACCGACCCAUCACAUCUGGCUGACAUUUAACAGGUUUAACACCUUCCAAGGCGAACACAUAGUCAAGGUUUACGACGGCCCAUAUUCAACAAGCCCCCUAUUAUUAUCGCACAGCGGAACUACUAAGCCACAAUCCGUAAGGUCAUCAUCCAACGAUUUAUUUGUUGAAUUUCCGUCUUACCUGAGCACAACUUAUGGAAUUGAAGCUUUCUACGCAAGUGUAAGAAGCACUGGCUAUCAGUUUGUUCCAGGCUGCGGUGGGUAUAUAUACGGUGACGGCAUUAUUCCCAGUUCUUUGGUUACGGCGUUCAGUAUCGGCUGCUUUUGGUACAUAGAAGCCACGCAAAGUGACGAUACCCUUGUACUGAAGACAAAUAUGUCUGAUGCUGAUGCGUUUCGGAAUUCAAAGCUUUACCUUAUUUCCAAGGUUUAUGAUGGAUGGAGUACGGAUGGCCUUGUCCUAUACGAUGGAAUAGAAUAUGGAGUACAGGACAAUGUGGUGAUUUAUUCCAUCACACAUAAGAUGAUGCUUUAUAUAGAAAUACCAAUAUGGAGAGUGGAGCCGCUUGGAAGUCUUGGACGUUCAUGGAGUAUCACCACUCAAAAAUCCACGCCACAUUGCAACCACAACCUUGAAGAAAACAACGGAACGAUAAAAAGUCCAAAUUUUCCGACAUUUUAUCCCAACUCAAUUGAUUGUCGAUGGAGCAUUAAAGUUGAACCAGGCUCAAAAGUCCGGCUAUUAUUUGCUCUGUUCGAAACUCAAGCAGGAGCGGAUUACCUUUACGUGUAUGAUGGACCAACGCUGCUUUCGCCGUUAUUGCUGACCGAAUCGGGACUAGUUCCAACACCGUUCGUUGUGAAUUCGUCGACCAAUCAAGUGUUGGUUAGGUUCGUAUCAGAUGAAAAAACUUCUUCUCCUGGUUUUCUUUCUGUCUAUUCGUCAGUUUGAUUUCUAUUGUGCUAAUCACAGCAACGAAUUGUAAUUUCCUACAGUUCAUAUUGAUGGGGUGGGGUCUCUAGUUUCAUAUAAAAAAACACUUAACCUAUGAAAAAAUGUUGGGUUGGAGCGUUACGAUUUCAGCAUGCAUAAGAAAAACUUAUUCGAAAAGUAGCUAAAGAACGUUGCAAACUCUUGGUGCUAUCCGAAUAGCAAUACAAAGUCAUUGUUCCCAAAAAGCAGAUAAGGUAGAGGUCGAUAGGUAAAGGUAACUUGGCUAAGGGCUACAACAACAUUGCGGCAAGGAAAACCCCAAAAGGACGGUAGACGUACAAAAAGCAGAUAAAAAAAAAAAUGAAACAAAAAUCUUUACAUGUCCUUCCCCCAGGACAAAAGGGGAGUUUUGUUUGGUUUUUUUUUUCCUUAUUUUUACGACUACCAUUAGUGCUGAAUACCACCUUAAGGUAUUCACUGGUGCCCAGUUUGUUGGAUUGCUUACGUGCUAAAUUUUAACCAACCUGUUAAAACAACAGUUAGACAAACAAGUGAGCACAUAAAAUCGUGCCAUUUCGUUAAGUUUUACUUGUUUGUGGUACUGUAACAACUUUGUACACAAGUGUUUAUUUCGUUGCCACCAUGGAGUUGCGUCAUGGUUUCUGCUUAUCAAGUGUUUUCAUCGUUGUGGGCAUACUCGGGACAGUACAGGCAGGAAAUCAACCAGCAGGCCAUUCUGUAUGUUUGGUUCUCUCCAAAAGCGACGUCGGUCUGAGAAAGGAUCCAGGUGAGACAUCGAUCAUCCUAAACUGGACGGAUAGUUCCGGUUGUGCUUCUGAAUUGACGGCGGCGAACUUGAAAAUCUUUCCGGAUGGAGAACUACUGGGUGUUCCCGAACGAGAAAAUUCAUUCGUCAAAGUUCCACGCCGUUGUCUGAAUCAACAAUCACAUGAAAUGAACCUGUUCUCAGUCAAUUUGUCUGCCUGCUCUACCUGUCCAGUCGAAUGGAAAUCGUUAGACGCAUGUAGAAAGUAUACGUUCGAGAUAAAAUCGGAGUAUUCAAAUGCGUCUAUCAGUGCAGAACCUUUUAUGUUGGAAACUUUCACAUCUCAACGAGGCAUCAGCCCGAAAACUUCUUUUGAAGGCUUGUGGCGCUGUUCGUCGCAAAAGUUCUUCUGUCGAGGAAUUAUCGAUCAACUUGAUCCUUAUGCCUCCGCGUUUGGUGCUACAAAAACUAGCGGAUGUCUUGAUAACGAUAAAAUUUGCAACAGAGAAAAAGAUUGCGAAUCGGGAGUGGAUGAGCUGCAUUGUGCCAAAAGUCGGAAAUUUUGGUUUAUCGGAAAUCAACCACCACCAUGCAACGAUGGAUUUCAAUGCGGUCGGCAAUGUAUUCCCAACGAACUUGUCUGUGAUGGGACGUACGAUUGCCUUGAUGGCUCUGAUGAACACUACGACUGUCAGUAUUCCAUGUCUUGUAAUCAGCAAACCACAAAUUUUGGCCAUAUCUCUUCUGCAUCGAUAACAAAACCAGAUGAAGAUAUCCACAAACACAAUUUGAUGCACCUGGUACAAAAAUCCAUUACUGCGAUUAGUGUACAAGCGAACCAUACCAUUUGGCUUGCAUUCAGUAAAUUCCGCACCAAAGAAAACCACUUUCUGAAGGUUUAUGACGGACCAUAUUCAACAAGUCCUCUCCUUUUGUCCCAUAGUGGCUCAACUAAACCAAAGUCAGUUCGAUCGUCGUCAAACAAUCUUUAUGUAGAAUUUCCAUCUUAUUACGAUCAAAGCUAUGGAGUGGA